ensembl:lncRNA
UCACUUCUGCUCUAGAUUGCUUCCCUUUAAAAUAAACCUGCAUGUAUACUAAAUAUCGGCUCUGUGAUAAAUGGCAUGUUAUGUUUCUACAUUCUUUUAUGAUGAUGGCAGUUCAGCAGAGUUGGAUCAGACCUCCUGUGGGACAACAUCUCUAAGGCUCUAUGAACCAUAUGACUGAUGCUGGGAUAGGCUUCAGCCCCCACGACCCUAGAGAGGAUAAGUGGUUUGGAGAGUGAACAGAUGGAUGGAUGACCUUCCAAAAUUCUUUGACUUGCUUUGAUUUUGUUUCUAUUCUUACUGCUGUUCAGCUUAAAACUACCUUUCCAUUAUCUUUGUUUGUCAUUUUGCAUCAUUAUACCUGUGCUAAACCUAUGAAAAUUAAGAAACAAAUGAAAGUAUCUUUUUUUUAUCAAUUUUUUUUUGUUGUUGUUACAGGAUCCUAUGUAUCCAGCCUCAACCAUUCAUCAAAAGGACUGUGAAAGAAGGAAUUCUUUGAACCACCAGUGGCAGUUUCCAGGGGAUAAAAAAGGGCAUAGUGGAUAAUGGGGAACCGUGCCUGACGUGGCGCUGGCGCGCUGCUGCUGCUGAAGGUGACAUAGAGGGAGGCCGCUGACAGACCAGGCUCUUGUCUUCAUGACAACAAUUUCAACUUUUUUCACACACAUACACCUUCCAAAAUCCGAAAAAUGGGGCGUGAGUGCUGAAUACUGGAGUCUCAUUCAAAUGCUGCAGCGGAGGGAGUUGCCAUGGAAACGGGGCAACAACACCAACUGACAAACUUCCCUCGCAGCUGUUUUCACUUCUUUCAGGAGUGAUGAUAUAAUCUCUAUACAACAGAAGAGAAGCUCCAAAAUUUCAAAGUUUCUGAAGGGAGUUGCUGACAGAAAUGCAGGAAACAGAUGGGCUGAGAAAGCUCUUUAAAUACAUUCAUAUGCCUUUUCUCACAACAUAUUUUCUUAUAUCACCAUUGAUCUGUUAUAUUACAGUAAUUUAUAAAUUUUUUAACAUUAAAAGAAGAGUGACACAAACCUAAAAAACAUUAAUGUUAAUUCUGUUAUUUUAAGAAACUGGUUUGUGUGUGUGUUUAUAUAUAUAUAUAUAUAUAUAUAUAUAUAUAUAUA